UACGGAGGAUCCAAGCGUUAUCCGGAAUCAUUGGGUUUAAAGGGUCCGUAGGCGGUUUGGUAAGUCAGUGGUGAAAGCCUAUCGCUCAACGGUGGAACGGCCAUUGAUACUGCCAGACUUGAAUUAUUAGGAAGUAACUAGAAUAUGUAGUGUAGCGGUGAAAUGCUUAGAGAUUACAUGGAAUACCAAUUGCGAAGGCAGGUUACUACUAAUGGAUUGACGCUGAUGGACGAAAGCGUGGGUAGCGAACAGG
rnacentral:rRNA from 1 species